GGGGAAACAGAGGGAGAGAGGGAGUGAGAUUAGGGAAAACAGAGGGAGAGUGGGAGUGAGAUUAGGGGAAAACAGAGGGAGAGGGAGUGAGAUUAGGGGAAAACAGAGGGAGAGAGGGAGUGAGAUUAGGGAAAACAGAGGGAGAGAGGGAGUGAGAUUAGGGGAAAACAGAGGGAGAGAGGGAGUGAGAUGAGGGGAAAACAGAGGGAGAGAGGGAGUGAGAUUAGGGAAAAACAGAGGAAGAGAGGGAGAGAGAUUAGGGGAAAACAGAGGGAGUGAGAUUAGGGGAAAACAGAGGGAGAGAGGGAGUGAGAUUAGGGAAAAACAGAGGGAGAGUGGGAGUGAGAUUAGGGGAAAACAGAGGGAGAGAGGGAGAGAGAUUAGGGGAAAACAGAGGGAGAGAGGGAGUGAGAUUAUGGGAAACAGAGGGAGAGAGGGAGUGAGAUUAGGGAAAACAGAGGGAGAGAGGGAGUGAGAUUAGGGGAAAACAGAGGGAGUGAUAUUAGGGGAAAACAGAGGGAGAGAGGGAGUGAGAUUGGGGGAAAACAGAGGGAGAGAGGGAGUGAGAUUAGGGGAAACAGAGGGAGUGAGAUUAAGGGAAAACAGAGGGAGAGAGGGAGUGAGAUUAGGGAAAACAGAGGGAGAGAGGGAGUGAGAUUAGGGGAAAACAGAGGAAGAGAGGGAGAGAGAUUAGGGGAAAACAGAGGGAGUGAGAUUAGGGGAAACAGAGGGAGAGAGGGAGUGAGAUUAGGGGAAAACAGAGGGAGUGAGAUUAAGGGAAAACAGAGGGAGAGAGGGAGUGAGAUUAGGGAAAACAGAGGGAGAGAGGGAGUGAUAUUAGGGGAAAACAGAGGGAGAGAGGGAGUGAGAUUAGGGGAAAACAGAGGGAGAGAGGGAGUGAGAUUAGGGAAAACAGAGGGAGAGAGGGAGUGAUAUUAGGGGAAAACAGAGGGAGAGAGGGAGUGAGAUUAGGGGAAAACAGAGGGAGAGAGGGAGUGAGAUUAGGGAAAACAGAGGGAGUGAGAUUAGGGGAAAACAGAGGGAGAGAGGGAGUGAGAUUAGGGGAAAACAGAGGGAGAGAGAUUAGGGGAGGGAGAGAGGGAGUGAGAGGGAGUGAGGGAGUGAGAUUAGGGGAAAACAGAGGGAGAGAGGGAGUGAGAUUAGGGAAAACAGAGGGAUAGAGGGAGUGAGAUUAG
ensembl:lncRNA